rnacentral:rRNA from 1 species
AUACAGAGGGUGCGAGCGUUAAGCGGAAUUACUGGGCGUAAAGCGCGCGUAGGUGGUCUAUUAAGUCAGAUGUGAAAUCCCAGGGCUCAACCUUGGAACUGCAUCUGAUACUGAUAGACUAGAGUUUUGGAGAGGGAAGUAGAAUUUCAGGUGUAGCGGUGAAAUGCAUAGAGAUCUGAAGGAAUGCCAGUGGCGAAGGCGACUUCCUGGCCAAAAACUGACGCUGAGGUGCGAAAGCGUGGGUAGCAAACGGGAUUAGAAACCCCAGUAGUCC